rnacentral:rRNA from 1 species
AGAGUUUGAUCAUGGCUCAGAACGAACGCUGGCGGCAGGCCUAACACAUGCAAGUCGAACGCCCUAGCAAUAGGGAGUGGCAGACGGGUGAGUAACGCGUGGGAACCUUCCCAAUAGUACGGAAUAGCCCAGGGAAACUUGGAGUAAUACCGUAUACGCCCGAAAGGGGAAAGAUUUAUCGCUAUUGGAUGGGCCCGCGUCGGAUUAGCUAGUUGGUGAGGUAACGGCUCACCAAGGCGACGAUCCGUAGCUGGUUUGAGAGAACGACCAGCCACACUGGGACUGAGACACGGCCCAGACUCCUACGGGAGGCAGCAGUGGGGAAUAUUGGACAAUGGGCGCAAGCCUGAUCCAGCCACGCCGCGUGAGUGACGAAGGCCUUCGGGUUGUAAAACUCUUUUGGCGGGGACGAUAAUGACGGUACCCGCAGAAUAAGCUCCGGCUAACUUCGUACCAGCAGCCGCGGUAAUACGAAGGGAGCUAGCGUUGUUCGGAAUCACUGGGCGUAAAGCGCACGUAGGCGGAUUGUUAAGUCAAGGGGUGAAAUCCCCGGGCUCAACCCGGGAACUGCGUCCGAGACUGAUAGGCUCGAAUCCGGGAGAGGGAUGUGGAAUUCCAGGUGUAGCGGUGAAAUGCGUUAAUAUCUGGAGGACCACCAGUGGCGAAGGCGGCAUUCUGGACCGUAUUGACGCUGAGGBGCGAAAGCCAGGGGAGCAAACRGGAUUAGAUACCCYGGUAGUCCWSGCCSUAAACGAUGAAUGCUUGGUGUGGCGGGUAUCGAUCCCUUGCUGUGCCGAAGCUAACGCAUUAAGCAUUCCGCCUGGGGAGUACGGUCGCAGGCUGAAACUCAAAGGAAUUGACGGGGGCCCGCACAAGCGGUGGAGCAUGUGGUUCAAUUCGACGCAACGCGAAGAACCUUACCCAGGCUUGAACUGCAGAUGACAUCCUACGAAAGUAGGCUCCCGAAAGGGCAUCUGUAGAGGUGCUGCAUGGCUGUCGUCAGCUCGUGUCGUGAGAUGUUGGGUUAAGUCCCGCAACGAGCGCAACCCUUGUCUUCUGUUGCCAUCGGGUCAUGCCGGGCACUCUGAAGAGACUGCCGGUGACAAACCGGAGGAAGGUGGGGAUGACGUCAAGUCAGCAUGGCCUUUAUGUCUGGGGCCACACACGUGCUACAAUGGCCGGUACAAACCGUCGCGAUCCCGCGAGGGGGAGCUAAUCGGAGAAAGCCGGUCUCAGUUCGGAUUGCAGGCUGCAACUCGCCUGCAUGAAGCUGGAAUCGCUAGUAAUCGCGGAUCAGCACGCCGCGGUGAAUACGUUCCCGGGCCUUGUACACACCGCCCGUCACAUCACGAAAGCUGGCUGUACUAGAAGUCGUCGCGCGAACCCGCAAGGGAAGCAGACGCCUAAGGUAUGGUCAGUGAUUGGGGUGAAGUCGUAACAAGGUAACCGUA